CCAUGUUGCUUCCAAACAUCCUGCUCACCAGUAAACCAGAGAUUGGAAAAACACACUAGGCAAAAAACCAUCAAAAUCAGGACUGAGGCCGAGCGUGGUGGCUCAUGCCUAUAAUUCCAGCAUUUUGGGAGGCUGAGGCAGGCAGAUCACUUGAGGUCAGGAGUUCAAGACCAGCCUGGCCAAUAUGGAGAAACCCCAUCUCUACUAAAAAUACAAAAAUUUGCCAGGUGUGGUGGCACAUGCCUGUAGUCCCAGCCACUCAGGAGGCUGAGGCAGGACAAUUGCUUGAACUUGGGAGGCAGAGGUUGCAGUUUGCUGUCAUGGCACCACUGCACUCCGACCUGGGUGACAGAGUGAGACUCUGUCUCAAAAAAAAAAAAAAAAAAAAAAUUCAGGACUUAAAUACAACAUUAAUGUGGGUGAUUUAGCCCAAGAAGAGCAGUUGUAUGAUGGCUAUGAUGAAGAGUAUGAUUGUCCCAUUUUAGAUGAAGAUAAAGAGUAGUUGAUGAGUUAGAUAACCAAAUGACAGAAGGUAGAGUUAUUGUUUAUUACCAUGUUGGUGACUUCUUCCCUGAACACUGGCUUCAUAUAUUACAGUUUUUGUGCUGAGAACAGAUACCAAUGUACUGUAUGAAAGACUUGAAGCAAGGGGUCAUACUGAGAAGAAACUAAUAGACAAUACUCAUUGUAAGAUUUUUCAAGUUCUUUAUUAAUAAGUCACAGCAUCCUGUAAGGAAGAAAUUGUGCAUCAGCUGCCAAGCAAUAAAUCAUAAGAGCUAGAAAAUAAUAUAGAUCAAAUACUGAAAUGGAUUGAGCAAUGGACCAAAGAUCCUAACUCU
rnacentral:lncRNA from 1 species